GAUGAACGCUGGCGGCGUGCCUAAUACAUGCAAGUCGAGCGAACAGACGAGGAGCUUGCUCCUCUGACGUUAGCGGCGGACGGGUGAGUAACACGUGGAUAACCUACCUAUAAGACUGGGAUAACUUCGGGAAACCGGAGCUAAUACCGGAUAAUAUCUUUAACCGCAUGGUUCAAUAGUGAAAGACGGUUUUGCUGUCACUUAUAGAUGGAUCCGCGCCGCAUUAGCUAGUUGGUAAGGUAACGGCUUACCAAGGCAACGAUGCGUAGCCGACCUGAGAGGGUGAUCGGCCACACUGGAACUGAGACACGGUCAAGACUCCUACGGGAGGCAGCAGUAGGGAAUCUUCCGCAAUGGGCGAAAGCCUGACGGAGCAACGCCGCGUGAGUGAUGAAGGUCUUCGGAUCGUAAAACUCGGUUAUUAGGGAAGAACAAAUGUGUAAGUAACUAUGCACGUCUUGACGGUACCUAAUCAGAAAGCCACGGCUAACUACGUG
rnacentral:rRNA from 1 species